rnacentral:rRNA from 1 species
GUGGGGAAUAUUGCACAAUGGGCGCAAGCCUGAUGCAGCCAUGCCGCGUGUAUGAAGAAGGCCUUCGGGUUGUAAAGUACUUUCAGCGGGGAGGAAGGCGAUGUGGUUAAUAACCGCGUCGAUUGACGUUACCCGCAGAAGAAGCACCGGCUAACUCCGUGCCAGCAGCCGCGGUAAUACGGAGGGUGCAAGCGUUAAUCGGAAUUACUGGGCGUAAAGCGCACGCAGGCGGUCUGUCAAGUCGGAUGUGAAAUCCCCGGGCUCAACCUGGGAACUGCAUCCGAAACUGGCAGGCUUGAGUCUCGUAGAGGGGGGUAGAAUUCCAGGUGUAGCGGUGAAAUGCGUAGAGAUCUGGAGGAAUACCGGUGGCGAAGGCGGCCCCCUGGACGAAGACUGACGCUCAGGUGCGAAAGCGUGGGGAGCAAACAGGAUUAGAAACCCUAGUAGUCC